UAUUCAUAUUUUUACAUUGUUUAAAUAAAUGUAGGUUUUUGUAAGGGAGGUAAAUGGUUAAUAUUUUAGCAUAAGCCUUUUCUAAACACCAUAAACUCUUCUAAAUAUCAUUUUUGAUGACUGUGUUAUUCUCUGAAGUAGAGUCUCUGAAGUAGUGAAUUAGCACUGACUUCUGUGAGCUUCAUUUUCAGAAAUUCCAGUUGCUUGCUAAACAUCCCCAAGCUCGAUUUCCCACAGGUAUCCCAGGCUUAACAUCUUUAUAACUUAGGUCAUUUUCUUUUUCUGUCCCAACGUGCUCUUCCUGUUGUAUUCCCCAAAGCAAUUAGUAUUGCCUAGUCACCCAGGCAAGAAACAUAGGGGCCAUUCCACACUGCUCCCUCUUCAUCUUUCCUAUUAGUCAUCAGUCACCAACUUUUGCUAAAUAGCUACUGUUUCUCUAAUCUAUCUCUCUUCCCCAUUGCUACUGUCACCCUAGUAGUUCAGGCCCUCAUCAUUUCUCCUGUAAACUGUGCAGUAGCCUCCUAGCUGAUCUCCAUUCCUCCAGCUUGGACAUCUUAAAUCCUUUUCCUUCACUACUGCCAAUGCAAUCUACCUAAAACAAAAAUGUUCAUGAUACUACCCUCCUUAAAACCCUUCAGCGUGGUCAUACUUUCUGCAUGGUAUAGAGAACCCUCCAGAUGCAGAUCUUUCUCUACUUCUUUGAUUUCUCUUGCCAUUACCUGCUGGCAUUUGUUAUUCUAGUAAUAGAGGAAUGCUUGUAGUCCCCCAUACUGUUCAUUGCUUCCAUAUCUUUGCUUUUCAUGAUUUUGAUUUCUCUGUCUGGAUUGCCCUCAUCACUUUUUUCCACCUGGCUAAUUCUUAAUUGUCCUUCUAUCUUAAUUCAGGCAUCAUCUCCUCAGGAAAUCUACCCUGAAGGUCUAGGUUGGGCUAAAUGUCUCUUCUUUAUGCUCUACAUAGUGAUUAUCUCUGUCUUUUCGGUUAAAACAUCUUUUAAAACACUUUAAAUCUAUUUACUUUAUAUAUAAUGACUUAAAAUUUUAAUAUCAGCAGUCUGAGCAUGUCUUAUUUUUCAAUUUGCAGUCUUUCAAGAUUCUUGGUUAUGGAGGUCUGUUUCCUUGUAUGUUUGAUAUAUGUUUGUAGGAGCUCACAUUUGGUUAAACCUUAACUUUGUGAAUCCUGAAGGGACUGGAUUGAGAUGAUUUGUCUUGGUUUUUCCUAGGUGCUAAAAGAUUCUACCAACCUGGAACUGUUGUUUCUGCUUAUUUCUUGGAUUGAGAUUUCUCAGACUGUAUCUCUGGAUCAAGAGUUUCCUUUGUGAUUGAACUGAUCUGGAGAGCAAUGCUGAAAUGCUGCAGUCUAAGCUCUAUACCCAGAGGACAAAUUCCUAUCGAAUGGAAAGUUCAUGUACCUGUUGGUCUGAGAUUGUUUACCCUUUUUGCAUCAGUGCAGAGGGAAGAAGAGGAACAGAGAGGGAGCAUUUGGUAGGUAUACAUUUUGGAAAUCCUGGGAAUCUGGGCUUAGAGGAAGGAAGGAAUCAGCUUCAUCUUAUAUUGAGGACCCGCCUGGGCUUCUCAAAGGUGAGCAAGGCUCAGGAGGGAGGUUGACAGUGGCAUUACACAUCCGCCCCAUCACAGUUUUAUUGUUU